rfam:Candidate division WOR-1 bacterium RIFOXYC12_FTLL_54_18 RifOxyC12_full_WOR_1_54_18_curated_complete, whole genome shotgun sequence.
GCGCCCGUAGCUCAUUUGGAUAGAGCGAUUGCCUUCGAAGCAAUAGGUAGCAGGUUCGAUCCCUGCCGGGCGCA